GAUGUGUUGAAGACAAGAGAUAAAGAGAGUACUAGUGAGCAAGGCUGUAGUCAUCCUGAUAGAUACAGCAGCAAGAAUGAUUUAGGCUGCUGGGAAGGAUCCAAUGAGAAUUCAAGAGGGCACUGCUUCGGAAAUCCUGAUCUGAUCUUCCCACUCUCAGUUCUUUAAGAGUUACCUGCGUUGGGAACAUUAUUAUUAGGAUUAAUAGUAUUCCAUCAGUGUAUUUCACUAGGAUUUCCCUUGAACUCUCUCACUCGCAGCAACUGAGGGAGGCGUAAUAAGGAAGCCCAACACAACCAACCCUCCCAAAUAAACCACUGUGGUCACUUUAGGAUGACCAAAUCAUCAGCGAUUUGCAUUGGCGGGGGGGAAUCUAAGGGCUGAAGAUGCGGAUGAGGCCGAGUCGCCGGGCGCUUUCGGGGGCGCUGUGCCGGAGGCUUAGGCAAGGGGGCCCGGAACCGUGGUUACAAGCUGCAGCGGUGGCAGGAGGAGCCCUCCCAGAUCCUGUUUUCUCGGAGAAUUCUGCAGCCCGCGACUCAAGGCAAUUCACUUCCAUCCGCAACCUCAGCUCCGAAUGCCUUGUUUUAGAAGCUAGAGCUUUGGAGGUUCUGAGGACCGUUCCUGGGGGAGCGGGUGACAGGCUGUGAGGCUUUCGCGUCCCCUCUGAUUCCUGCACAGUUACCGAGGGAGGUAUGCUAGAAAUGGCUUUGCUGCCGAAUGCAUGCUCUUGCCAUUUUCGUAUCCCGAUACGGCACACACGAUCGCCUGAUCGAUCGGAAAUAGGAGGGAAAGGUAGAGUGGAAAUUGAUUUCUUGCAGAGACUGAGGCGCCGAAUGAUAGAAGGAAUAAACAUUUGCCCUGGAUAAAAAUGUUCUUGGAGAACAGCAGCAUGUAAGGGUGAAUUUGAACUAGGGGGCUUUUAAGAAGGCAAUAUGAAGGCUUUAAGGCUCUUCAUUUCUUACAUUCAAACCUACACACAGGUUGUGUUCCAGCCCUAAUAGGGACCUAGAGCAGAAGUUUUUCUUCAGUCAUCUAAUUUUACCCAAAAGAUUACUUCUAUGAUAUGUCUAUGUUUUACACAGGCUGACAAAUGUUGGUAGGGGUAUCUGAGGUCCACACAAGGAGGAUGAAUGUCGUGAAUUUCAUUUGUUACAAAUUCAACCUUAACAAUGGUGGUAUAUAGAGAGCAUACUUUUCAUAUAUGAUCUUCAUAUGCUGCCUAAACCUACUUACUUAAUUGCUAUUCAAAGAAAUCCAGUUAUUUGUUGGGGACCCAACCUGACUUAAGUUAGAAAAUGUAACAUUAAAAUUUUUAUUUUAUAUGUGAAAUAAAUGUAGGUUGCUGUUCUUUUAAAUAUUUGGAGAAUAAUAAGUACAGGAUAAAAACAUUAAUUUUGUGACCCAUGGUUCCUUAACUGUAACAUUUUAUAGCACUUAAAGUUUAUUAAACUAAGUAUUUGAGCAUUAUAUUAAAUCAUAUGACAAAGUUUGAUGAACCUCAAAAUAGAGUCAUAGGGUUUUACAUCUCUUAGCUAGCUCUGACCUGGUUUGUACUUAGACCUCUCUCAAAAGUUAUACAUUCUAAUUUUAUACUGAAAAUGUCCUUUCUUGGAUAAUCUCAAGACAUAUCUACAGUUGGUAUCUUAACACAUUUUAUAUUACUGGUAUUGUUUUUGUUUGCUCUCCUGGCUUCUUCUUUUAAGUGUAUAGGUACCACCUAAUAUAUUUCUUACCUAUUAAUCCACUAAAAUGUCUAAUCUAAAAGCAAUGUUCAAGGUAUACUGUAUUAGAGAAAUUGUGAACCAAUUUGCUUGUGAAUAAAAAUGUCAAUAUGCUUUAGGUCAUUUUAACCUUAAAUCAAAUUUAUAACAAAAAUGUAAUAUAAGUAAACUCAAACUGUUUCUUGCAUACAAAAGAGAGCCAGUCAUACACACACAUACAUAUACAAUUUUCCUCAUUAGAAUAUUUAAAUUCAUUCAUUAUAUUCUCUGCUAUAUGUUUAUUUUGGUUUUAGAUCUUUCUCUUUGAAAGUGUCUAAAGUUUCUUAAAUACCUUAAUGUGAAAGCAUUUUCAUGUCUUACUCCAUAAGAUGAAUAUGAUGCUAAAUAAACUGAGCCAAUAUAUUUGAAUCUCAAAAUAAUUACAAUAGUCCCCUGCCUUAUCCACAGAGGAUACGUUCCAAGACCUCCAGUAGACACCUGAAACCAUGAAUAGUACAGAACCUUAAAUAUACCAUGUUUUUUCCUACACAUACAUAUCUAUGAUAAAGUUUAAUUUAUAUAUUAGGUACAG